CCCCGUCUUAGUCACAGUGGCGAUGUCCGAAGACCCCGGGUCAGGCUCUUGCUCGACGGCUGUGUUGUUGGUGAUGUGAGGCAGCUUAGCGAUGACCAGGUCGACCUUCUGCUGGGCUUCACCGGCCGGGUUGGAGGCCACGCAGGUGUACUAUUCUUGUCUGGAAUGAUAUCAAGGGAAGCUAUAAGGUAGGUAAUCUGUGGCAAGCUGGGCUUUUACAUUUAGUCCGGAAAACAAAUGUUCUUUUUGUCAUCCAACUCAAAAUAUUUUAACUUAACUUACUUGUAACUUAAUGAUCUAACCUGGUGGAUACUCCAAACCAACCUGAGUCCUUGACGGUGCUGAUGUGGAUAUCUAGCGUGCCAUCGCUGUGCACGGAGGCUCUGGAAGAGUUUGACAUUAGGCGUCCGUCAGGGGCUAUCCAGUGGAUGAUGGGGUCCGGGUCCCCCCGAGCCUUACAACGUAGUGUCACGCUCUGACCCUCCAGGGCCCGCAGCUCCUGCAACAACAACAACAACAACACCGGACUGAUAUAUUGACCAGGCGGGGGGUGGCAUCUCAAAUGCAAUUUCAGAGGCUAAUGCAAUUUCUCUGCUUGGACUGGAUGUCAAGAUCUCAACCCGUGUGGGUUGAGCAUCGCACUGAGAUGACCCUGUUGAAUCAAGAGAAGUACUGUUCAUCAGCAUCUACAAGUCUCUCCUGCCAUUUUGCAAGUGUUUUCCUUCGCGCGGCAUCAGAGCGGGAAGCAAAAGUCAGGAUAGGAUGG